rnacentral:rRNA from 1 species
AUACGGAGGGUGCAAGCGUUAUUCGGAAUUACUGGGCGUAAAGGGCGCGUAGGCGGUGCAUUAAGUCAGUUGUGAAAGCUCGGGGCUGAACCCCGGAAGUGCAAUUGAAACUGGUGUGCUUGAGUAUGGUAGAUGGAAGUGGAAUUCCUGGUGUAGCGGUGAAAUGCGUAGAUAUCAGGAGGAACACCCGUGGCGAAGGCGACUUCCUGGACCAAUACUGACGCUGAGGCGCGAAGGCGUGGGGAGCAAACAGGAUUAGAAACCCCAGUAGUCC